rnacentral:rRNA from 1 species
AAUGAACGCUGGCGGCAUGCCUUACACAUGCAAGUCGAACGGCAGCAUGACCUCGCUUGCUAGGUUGAUGGCGAGUGGCGAACGGGUGAGUAAUGCAUCGGAACGUGCCUUUUCGUGGGGGAUAACGUAGCGAAAGUUACGCUAAUACCGCAUAUUCUCUGAGGCGGAAAGCAGGGGACCUUCGGGCCUUUCGCUAGAAGAGCGGCCGAUGUCGGAUUAGCUAGUUGGUGAGGGAAAGGCUCACCAAGUCACCGAUCCGUAGCGGGUCUGAGAGGAUGAUCCGCCACACUGGGACUGAGACACGGCCCAGACUCCUACGGGAGGCAGCAGUGGGGAAUUUUGGACAAAGGGCGCAAGCCUGAUCCAGCCAUGCCGCGUGAGUGAAGAAGGCCUUCGGGUUGUAAAGCUCUUUCGGCUGGGAAGAAAUCGCACCCUCUAAUACAGGGUGUGGAUGACGGUACCAGCAUAAGAAGCACCGGCUAACUACGUG